rnacentral:rRNA from 1 species
GAUGAACGCUAGCUACAGGCUUAACACAUGCAAGUCGAGGGGCAGCGGUAUCGAAAGCUUGCUUUCGGUAGCCGGCGACCGGCGCACGGGUGAGUAACGCGUAUCGAACCUGCCUCAUACUCGGAAAUAGCCUUGCGAAAGUAAGAUUAAUGCCCGGUGUUUUCAGAGUCCCGCAUGAGGCUUUGAACAAAGAUUUAUCGGUAUGAGAUGGCGAUGCGUCCCAUUAGCUUGUUGGCGGGGUAACGGCCCACCAAGGCAUCGAUGGGUAGGGGUUCUGAGAGGAAGGUCCCCCACAUUGGAACUGAGACACGGUCCAAACUCCUACGGGAGGCAGCAGUGAGGAAUAUUGGUCAAUGGGCGGAAGCCUGAACCAGCCAAGUAGCGUGCAGGAAGACGGCCCUCCGGGUUGUAAACUGCUUUUAGUUGGGAAUAAAACGGGGCUCGUGAGCCCCCUUGCAUGUACCAUCAGAAAAAGGACCGGCUAAUUCCGUG